CCUACGGGUGGCAGCAGUAGGGAAUAUUGCUCAAUGGGGGGAACCCUGAUCCAGCGACGCCGCGUGAGUGAAGAAGUAUUUCGGUAUGUAAAGCUCUGUCAGCAGGGAAGAAAGAAAUGACGGUACCUGACUAAGAAGCCCCGGCUAACUACGUGCCAGCAGCCGCGGUAAUACGUAGGGGGCAAGCGUUAUCCGGAAUCACUGGGUGUAAAGGGAGCGUAGACGGCUGAGCAAGCCUGAAGGGAAAGGCGGGGGCCCAACCCCCGGACUGCUGUGGGAACUGGACGGCUGGAGUGCAGGAGAGGUAAGUGGAAUUCCUAGUGUAGCGGUGAAAUGCGUAGAUAUUAGGAGGAACACCAGUGGCGAAGGCGGCUUACUGGACUGUAACUGACGUUGAGGCGCGAAAGCGUGGGGAGCAAACAGGAUUAGAUACCCCAGUAGUC
rnacentral:rRNA from 1 species